rnacentral:rRNA from 1 species
AGUGAACGCUGGCGGUAGGCCUAACACAUGCAAGUCGAACGGCAGCACAGUAAGAGCUUGCUCUUACGGGUGGCGAGUGGCGGACGGGUGAGGAAUACAUCGGAAUCUACUUUUUCGUGGGGGAUAACGUAGGGAAACUUACGCUAAUACCGCAUACGACCUACGGGUGAAAGCAGGGGAUCUUCGGACCUUGCGCGAUUGAAUGAGCCGAUGUCGGAUUAGCUAGUUGGCGGGGUAAAGGCCCACCAAGGCGACGAUCCGUAGCUGGUCUGAGAGGAUGAUCAGCAGCACUGGAACUGAGAAACGGUCCAGACUCCUACGGGAGGCAGCAGUGGGGAAUAUUGGACAAUGGGCGCAAGCCUGAUCCAGCCAUACCGCGUGGGUGAAGAAGGCCUUCGGGUUGUAAAGCCCUUUUGUUGGGAAAGAAAAGCAGCAGGUGAAUACCCCGCUGUUCUGACGGUACCCAAAGAAUAAGCACCGGCUAACUUCGUG